GAAAUGCGAUAAGUAGUGUGAAUUGCAGAAUUCAGUGAAUCAUCGAAUCUUUGAACGCACAUUGCGCCCCUUGGUAUUCCAUGGGGCAUGCCUGUUCGAGCGUCAUUUGUACCCUCAAGCUCUGCUUGGUGUUGGGUGUUUGUCCCCGUCUCCGCGCGUGGACUCGCCCCAAAGUGAUUGGCAGCCGGCGUACUGGUCCCGGAGCUCAGCACAUGUCGCGCAAACGAGUGCCUUGGUACGGCGGCGUCCAUAAGCCCCUCUCUCACGCUCUUGACCUCGGAUCAGGUAGGGAUACCCGCUGAACUUAAGC
rnacentral:misc_RNA from 1 species